AAAGGAAGUUGACGGGGCCGCACAAGCGGUGGAGCAUGUGGUUAAUUCGAUGAUACGCGAGGAACCUUACCUGGGCUUAAAUGUAGAGUGCAUUUUUAGAGAUAGAAAUUCCUUCGGGGCUUUCUGCAAGGUGCUGCAUGGUUGUCGUCAGCUCGUGCCGUGAGGUGUCGGGUUAAGUCCCAUAACGAGCGCAACCCUUAUCGUUAGUUGCCAUCUGGUAAUGCAGGGGACUCUAGCGAAACUGCCACCGUAAGGUGAGAGGAAGGUGGGGAUGACGUCAAAUCAGCACGGCCCUUAUGUCCAGGGCUACACACGUGUUACAAUGGUCGGUACAGAGGGCAGCUACCUGGUGACAGGAUGCUAAUCUCGAAAACCGGUCUCAGUUCGGAUCGAAGUCUGCAACUCGACUUCGUGAAGCUGGAUUCGCUAGUAAUCGCGCAUCAGCUAUGGCGCGGUGAAUACGUUCCCGGGCCUU
rnacentral:rRNA from 1 species